rnacentral:rRNA from 1 species
UACAGAGGUCCCGAGCGUUGUUCGGAUUCACUGGGCGUAAAGGGUGCGUAGGUGGCCAUGAAAGUUUGAUGUGAAAUCUCCGGGCUUAACCCGGAAAAUGCAUUGAAUACUCUGUGGCUGGAGGUUUGGAGGGGGGACUGGAAUUCUCGGUGUAGCAGUGAAAUGCGUAGAUAUCGAGAGGAACACCAGUGGCGAAGGCGGGUCCCUGGACAACACCUGACACUGAGGCACGAAAGCUAGGGGAGCAAACAGG